GGGGAUAUAGCUCAGUGGUGCAGCACCUGCCUGGCAAGCACAGGGUCCUGAGUUCAAUUCCCAGUACCA
rnacentral:tRNA from 1 species